rnacentral:lncRNA from 1 species
ACAUCCGUCACUUUCAAGCCUAGGUGUAUGAGGUGUGGGGGAGGAAAGCACAGGCAUCCCUGAGAAGCCUGUUGGAGAAUCAGCAUCCUCAGGGGAGAUUCGAGUUUCAAUCGGAGCAAGAAGCAUCCCAGAGGCACUUUAACCAAACCCUGGAGAGAGAAGAAAUAAGCCAUAGGUCAUAAAGAUGGCGAUGGUUAUUUCCUUCCUCAUACCCAUGGUUUGUUACAAUGUGACUUUGCGGUUCUUCCCAUCAGUAAACAGAAGCCAUUUUCUUACUCCUUGCCUCUGGAUGGGCCUUGUGGCUUGCUUUGAGCAAUAGAACGCAUCAGAAGGUGACCUCAUGCCAGUUUCAUGCCUUGGCUUCAGGAGGCCUUGAAUUCUCUGCUGCUCCUUAGGAAUCUUCUGAGCCACUGCUUAACAAGCUCCAACCUCUCCAGCUGGAAGAUGAGGCAUAAUACAGAGGAGAGGCAAACUGUCCUAAAGAGACUACCCUAAGCCAACCAGUCCAGAUGACAGGAGGUUGACCUUGACACAUGUGUAAGCCCAGCCAAGGUCAGCCAAACCUAGUACAGAUCAGAAAAACCAUCUAUCAAUGCUCAGCCCAAAUUUCCAACCCACAGAAAUAUGAAUUAAAUAAAUGAUUGUUGUUUAAACCAUCUUGAUUUUGAGAUGCUCACACGACUGACAGCUGAUUGAACUGCCAUCUGGCUACUUACCAGGUUUAAAAAUCACAAUUAUGUCUGCAUAUGCACACAAUGCUAACUCUUUUGGAUGGGCCUUUUCUCAUAGGAUUCUCUUUCUCAAACACAGUUGAAUUAUCUUUUUAUUAUGUUUUCUCCAUCCAGUUUCUAAUUGUGGGAUCUUAUUUGUGGGAUCUAAAAAAUUGAACUCAUGGACAUAGAGAGCAGAAUGAUGGUUACCAGAGGCUGGGAAGGGUAGUGGGGGGAUGUGAGGCAGUAGGGAUAAUGAAUGGGUAUAAAAAAUAAAAAGAAUGAAUAAGACCUACUAUUUGAUAGCACAACAGGGUAGCUGCAGUCAAUACUAAUUUAGUUGUACAUUUUAAAAUAACUAAAAGAGUGUAAUGGGAUUGUUUGUAAAACAAAGGAUAAAUGCUUGAGGGGGUGGAUACCCCAUUUUCCAUGAUGUGAUUAUUUUACAAUGCAUGCCUGUUUCAAAACAUCUCAUGUACCCUGUAAAUAUAUACACCUACUAUGUAUCCACAAAAAUUAAUUUUUUUUGAAAAAGAAUGCAGCCAUGGCAACACCUUGAUUAUAAUAAACUGGUGAGACCCGAAUAGUGUUUCUGACUAUUCGGACUGUUUAAGUCACAUAAUCUUAGGUUGUUACGGCAGGAGUAGAAACCAAAUAUAGUAGGGAAAAAGGAAUCUAUUAAAUGUUAAGAUAACAAAUGUUACAAUAUUUUUUGAGUUUAAUCUUUAGAUCAUACUUCAAAAUUUAACAACAGUGACCAGAUUCAAUUUUUGCAAGGAACUGAUUUCCAUGUCACAAUUCUAUUCUUUCCCUUGUAUAUCACUUUUCAUCAAAUUAAAGUUUAAUAAUUGUAGAAUACAUUAGGAAAAUGUCUGCAUACUGGCAUUCUGAAGGCUUUAUAGUAUGACUUACAAAAUUGUUUGUGGAUAUAUGCCCAGUGUAUAUAUCCACAAAAUGUCUAUCAUUUAUUUGUGGGCUCCAAAAUAAAUGAUAUAUACAAAUAAGAGCAGAUAUUUUGUGUCUGUGUUUAUAUACACAGUAUAUAAACUACAUACAUACAGUGCUUAUGAAGAUGAAGUCAGUUAUCAGCUGUGGGGACGGGGACAUUUCUGAGUUUGACUGUGUAGAGAUAAAUUAUGAUUUGAAAUUACGUGAGAGCUGCAUGUCAGUGCAUGGUCUUUGUUUUAAUUCUCUGGAAUUCAAAGUAGCUAAUAUGCUCUCUAAACAAUGCAAUGUUUCUUCUCUAUAUUAUGCUUUGAAAAUUGGUUUAUUCCUCACAAGUGACAUAAUUUGAAGACAGAUCGAUUUUUUUUUCUGUUUGUAGAUGUUGAAUCAUUCUUAAUUAAAUAGAAAGAAUUAUUCAUCAAGCUUUCUUUUUCAUUUCUGCAUACUCUGGGAUUUAUGUUUCAGAAUAUCUCACUUCUAUUUUAUGUAAAUGACCUUC